rnacentral:tRNA from 1 species
GCUCCUAAAGGAUAGUAGCUUAUCCAUUGGUCUUAGGAACCAAAAACCCUUGGUGCAAAUCCAAGUAGCAGCU